UCAUUGGAUAUGGUUCAUUGGAUAUGGUUCAUUGGAUAUGGUUCAUUGGAUAUGGUUCAUUGGAUAUGGUUCAUUGGAUAAGGUUCAUUGGACAUGCUUAGUGGGUGGGCAGAAAGAUGUUCAGUAACACACUGAACAAAAAUAUACAUGCAACAAUUUUACUGAUUUACAGUUCAUAUAAGGAAAUCAGUCAACUGAAAUACAUUUUUUAGGCCCUCAUCUCAGCCAGGCCCAGUCAAUCAGAAUUAGUUUUUCCCCACAAAAGGGCUUUUUUUACAGGCAGAAAUUCUCCUCAGUUUCAUCAGCUGUCUGGUCUCAGACGAUCCUGCCUGUGAAGAAGCCGAAUGUGGAGGUCCUGGGCUGGCGUGGUCUGCGGUUGUGAGGCCGGUUGGACGUACUGCCAAAUCCUCUAAAAUAAGGGAGGCGGCUUAUGGUAGAGAAAUUAACAUUCAAUUCUCUGGCAACAGCUCUGGUGGACAUUCCUGCAGUCAGCAUGCAUGUUGCACAAAAAGUUGAUAGUGUAAAACACUUACAAUAUAAAAUAACAGUACAGGAUUUAUAAACAUAUCUUGUCUGAUAAAUGAACAAGUCUACAGCCCAUGACAUGGAGCAUAGCCAGAUAACAUACAGUAUCUAGUCUGAUAAAUGAACAAGUCUACAGUCUAUAUCAUGGAGAAUAACCAGAUAACAUACAGUAUCUAGUCUGAUAAAUGAACAAGUCUACAGUCUAUAUCAUAACCAGAUAACAUACAGUAUCUAGUCUGAUAAAUGAACCAGUCUACAGUCUAUAUCAUAGCCAGAUAAUACAGUAUCUAGUGUGAUAAAUGAACAAGUCUACAGUCUAUAUCAUGGAGAAUAACCAGAUAACAUACAGUAUCUAGUCUGAUAAAUGAACAAGUCUACAGUCUAUAUCAUGGAGAUAACCAGAUAACAUACAGUAUCUAGUCUGAUAAAUGAACAAGUCUACAGUCUAUAUCAUAACCAGAUAACAUACAGUAUCUAGUGUGAUAAAUGAACCAGUCUACA
rnacentral:lncRNA from 1 species